rnacentral:lncRNA from 1 species
UUAUUUGCUGGUAUAAAGGAUGGAGAAAGCCUGCAGCUCUUUGAACAAAGUUCUCGCUCUGCGCAUAAACAAGAGACACACACCAUGGAGGCCGUGAAGCUUGUAGAGUUUGAUCUUAAGCAAACGCUUACCAGGCUCAUGGCACAUCUUUUUGGAGAUGAGCUGGAGAUAAGAUGGGUAGACUGCUACUUCCCUUUUACACAUCCUUCCUUUGAGAUGGAGAUCAACUUUCAUGGAGAAUGGCUGGAAGUUCUUGGCUGCGGGGUGAUGGAACAACAACUGGUCAAUUCAGGCGGCGCCACCUGACUGAGAGAAAAUGGAAACACGAGGUUGCUGAUUGAAUUCUACGCAUAUCUAUAGGCAUUUCAGAAAGAUCUGUCUGGCUCUUUUCUGUAAGACCAUUGCUUAAUAAAAAUGAUGGCUUCUAAAUGUAA